AUCCAGCUCACGAGUCCCAAAUAGGACGAAACUUGGGUCCUGAAU
rnacentral:hammerhead_ribozyme from 1 species